AGACAAAAUAAUAAUUAUUAACGGAACCCUUCGAUUUGUUAUCCGCUUUGAAAAUGUCACGUUUGUAAAUGUGUUGUACAGAUAAGACAUUGAUAUAUGGAAUACCUAUACCGAAGGAAAGACGUGUUCCAACAUUCUUAUCAGUACAAUGAAACGUAGUUUUAUCAAUGGAGUUGGUAGCUAUUGAAAGAGUUCACGAGCACAAAGAAUCGGAGCAAAUAUAUCACGUGUUUGGCUUGCGGUAGACAUAAUAAUUUAUAACACGACGUAGAAGUGCGAAUAUUAAAACGGAAAGAAAUAUUGCUGAUUUCGGGUAAAUUUAUGUAUAACCGGGAUUUUAUAGGCAAUGGUGAUAAACUAUCAGUUGUUAUCAUGGAAAACGAAAAAGUUGGAUGAAUAAAAAAGGUUAGGAAUUUCG